rnacentral:rRNA from 1 species
AUACGGAGGAUCCGAGCGUUAUCCGGAUUUAUUGGGUUUAAAGGGUGCGCAGGCGGCCAUUUAAGUCAGCGGUUAAAUCGUGGGGCUCAACCCCAUUCUGCCGUUGAUACUGGGUGGCUUGAUUGCGGUCGAGGUUGGCGGAAUUCGUUGUGUAGCGGUGAAAUGCAUAGAUAUGACGAAGAACACCGAUUGCGUAGGCAGCUGACCAGACCGCAAAUGACGCUCAUGCCCGAAAGUGCGGGGAUCGAACAGGAUUAGAUACCCUGGUAGUCCGCACAGUAAACGAUGAAUACUUGUUUUCGGCGAUAUAAUGUCGGAGGCAAAGCGAAAGCGAUAAGUAUUCCACCUGGGGAGUACGCCGGCAACGGUGAAACUCAAAUGAAUUGACGGGG